GGUUGGGUAACACUAACUGGAGGACCGAACCCACUGUCGUUGAAAAGCCAGGGGAUGACUUGUGGAUAGGGGUGAAAGGCUAAUCAAACUCGGUGAUAGCUGGUUCUCCCCGAAAGCUAUUUAGGUAGCGCCUCGGACGAAUACCAUUGGGGGUAGAGCACUGUUUCGGCUAGGGGGUCAUCCCGACUUACCAAACCGAUGCAAACUCCGAAUACCAAUGAGUACUAUCCGGGAGACAGACUGCGGGUGCUAACGUCCGUAGUCAAGAGGAAAACAAUCCAGACCGCCAGCUAAGGCCCCAAAAUCAUAGUUAAGUGGGAAACGAUGUGGGAAGGCAUAGACAGCUAGGAGGUUGGCUUAGAAGCAGCCACCCUUUAAAGAAAGCGUAAUAGCUCACUAGUCGAGUCGGCCUGCGCGGAAGAUGUAACGGGGCUAAAACUAUGUGCCGAAGCUGCGGAUGUAUACAUUGUAUACGUGGUAGGGGAGCGUUCUGUAAGCCGAAGAAGGUGGAUUGAGAAGUCUGCUGGAGGUAUCAGAAGUGCGAAUGCUGACGUGAGUAACGACAAAACGGGUGAAAAACCCGUUCGCUGAAAGACCAAGGGUUCCAGUCCAACGUUAAUCGGGGCUGGGUGAGUCGACCCCUAAGGCGAGGCCGAGAGGCGUAGUCGAUGGGAAAUUGGUUAAUAUUCCAAUACUUCAGUGUAAUGCGAUGAGAGGACGGAGAAGGUUAAGUCAGCCUGGCGUUGGUAGUCCAGGUGAAAGGAAGUAGGCAUGCAUCUUAGGCAAAUCCGGGGUGCUCUAUGCUGAGAUCUGAUAGCAAGCUGUACUUGUACAGUGAAGUGGCUGAUACCCUGCUUCCAGGAAAAGUCUCUAAGCUUCAGUUACACUGGAAUCGUACCCGAAACCGACACAGGUGGUCAGGUCGAGUAGACCAAAGCGCUUGAGAGAACUCUGCUGAAGGAACUAGGCAAAAUGGUACCGUAACUUCGGGAGAAGGUACGCUGUUGACGGUGAUGGGACUUGCUCCCUGAGCGGUUGACAGCCUCAGAAACCAGGCCGCUGCAACUGUUUAUUAAAAACAUAGCACUCUGCAAACACGAAAGUGGACGUAUAGGGUGUGAUGCCUGCCCGGUGCUGGAAGGUUAAUUGAUGGGGUUAGCGUAAGCGAAGCUCUUGAUCGAAGCCCCAGUAAACGGCGGCCGUAACUAUAACGGUCCUAAGGUAGCGAAAUUCCUUGUCGGGUAAGUUCCGACCUGCACGAAUGGCAUAAUGAUGGCGGCGCUGUCUCCAGCAGAGGCUCAGUGAAAUCGAAUUCGCCGUGAAGAUGCGGUGUACCCGCGGCUAGACGGAAAGACCCCGUGAACCUUUACUGCAGCUUGACAUUGAACUUUGACCUUACUUGUGUAGGAUAGGUGGGAGGCUUUGAAACUUGGACGCUAGUCCGAGUGGAGCCGUCCUUGAAAUACCACCCUGGUAAUGUUGAGGUUCUAACUCUGU
rnacentral:rRNA from 1 species